AGAUAGCUGGUUCUCCCCGAAAUCUAUUUAGGUAGAGCCUUGUGUGAAUACCUUUUGGGGUAGAGCACUGUUUCGGCUAGGGGCCCAUCCUGGGUUACCAAACCGAUGCAAACUCCGAAUACCAAAGAGUAAUGCACAGGAGACACACGGCGGGUGCUAACGUCCGUCGUGGAGAGGGAAACAACCCAGACCGCCAGCUAAGGUCCCAAAAUCUAUAUUAAGUGGGAAACGAAGUGGGAAGGCUUAGACAGCUAGGAUGUUGGCUUAGAAGCAGCCACCAUUUAAAGAAAGCGUAAUAGCUCACUAGUCGAGUCGGCCUGCACGGAAGAUGUAACGGGGCUAAAAUAUAGUACCGAAGCUGCGGCAUCAGGCGUAUCACUAAUACGCCUUAACGAUUAACCACUUGCGAAGCAAGUGGGUAAAGCGAAAAACACGUUGAGUGUAAUGGCAAAGAAUCGAAGAGGGAUAUUAGUGAUACGUCUGUUGGGUAGGGGAGCGUUGUGUAAGCGGAAGAAGGUGGUUCGAGAGGAUUGCUGGACGUAUCACAAGUGCGAAUGCUGACAUAAGUAACGAUAAAACGGGUGAAAAACCCGUUCGCCGGAAGACCAAGGGUUCCUGUCCAACGUUAAUCGGGGCAGGGUGAGUCGGCCCCUAAGGCGAGGCUGAAAAGCGUAGUCGAUGGGAAACGGGUUAAUAUUCCCGUACUUGGUAAAGUUGCGAUGUGGGGACGGAGAAGGUUAGGUUAUCGACCUGUUGGAAAUGGUCGUUUAAGUUGGUAGGUGGGUGAGUUAGGCAAAUCCGGCUCACCGUUAACACUGAGAGAUGAUGACGAGGCACUAAGGUGCUGAAGUAACUGAUACCACACUUCCAGGAAAAGCCACUAAGCUUCAGGCUUUACUAAACCGUACUGAAAACCGACACAGGUGGUCAGGUAGAGAAUACUCAGGUGCUUGAGAGAACUCGGGUGAAGGAACUAGGCAAAAUAGCACCGUAACUUCGGGAGAAGGUGCGCCGGCGUAGAUUGUAGUGACUUGCUCACGAAGGUUGAACCGGUCGAAGAUACCAGCUGGCUGCAACUGUUUAUUAAAAACACAGCACUCUGCAAACACGAAAGUGGACGUAUAGGGUGUGAUGCCUGCCCGGUGCUGGAAGGUUAAUUGAUGGUGUAAUCGAAAGAGAAGCUCCAGAUCGAAGCCCCAGUAAACGGCGGCCGUAACUAUAACGGUCCUAAGGUAGCGAAAUUCCUUGUCGGGUAAGUUCCGACCUGCACGAAUGGCAUAAUGAUGGCCAGGCUGUCUCCACCCGAGACUCAGUGAAAUUGAAAUCGCCGUGAAGAUGCGGUGUACCCGCGGCUAGACGGAAAGACCCCGUGAACCUUUACUAUAGCUUGACACUGAACCUUGAAUUUUGAUGUGUAGGAUAGGUGGGAGACUGUGAAGCGGUAACGCCAGUUAUCGUGGAGUCGUUGUUGAAAUACCACCCUUUAACGUUUGAUGUUCUAACGAAGUGCCUGAAACGGGUACUCGGACAGUGUCUGGUGGGUAGUUUGACUGGGGCGGUCUCCUCCCAAAGAGUAACGGAGGAGCACGAAGGUUUGCUAAUGACGGUCGGACAUCGUCAGGUUAGUGCAAUGGUAUAAGCAAGCUUAACUGCGAGACAGACAAGUCGAGCAGGUGCGAAAGCAGGUCAUAGUGAUCCGGUGGUUCUGAAUGGAAGGGCCAUCGCUCAACGGAUAAAAGGUACUCCGGGGAUAACAGGCUGAUACCGCCCAAGAGUUCAUAUCGACGGCGGUGUUUGGCACCUCGAUGUCGGCUCAUCACAUCCUGGGGCUGAAGUAGGUCCCAAGGGUAUGGCUGUUCGCCAUUUAAAGUGGUACGCGAGCUGGGUUUAGAACGUCGUGAGACAGUUCGGUCCCUAUCUGCCGUGGGCGUUGGAGAAUUGAGAGGGGCUGCUCCUAGUACGAGAGGACCGGAGUGGACGCAUCACUGGUGUACCAGUUGUCUCGCCAGAGGCACUGCUGGGUAGCUAAAUGCGGAAGAGAUAAGUGCUGAAAGCAUCUAAGCACGAAACUUGCCUCAAGAUGAGUUCUCCCUGACUUAAAGUCAGUAAGGGUUGUUGGAGACGACGACGUAGAUAGGCUGGGUGUGUAAGCGGUGUGAGCCGUUGAGCUAACCAGUACUAAUUGCCCGAGAGGCUUAACUAU
rfam:Avibacterium paragallinarum JF4211, WGS project CBMK01000000 data, contig: 7